rnacentral:rRNA from 1 species
GACGAACGCUGGCGGCGUGCUUAACACAUGCAAGUCGAACGGAAAGGCCCUUCGGGGUACUCGAGUGGCGAACGGGUGAGUAACACGUGGGUGAUCUGCCCUGCACUUUGGGAUAAGCCUGGGAAACUGGGUCUAAUACCGGAUAGGACUACGGCCUGCAUGGGUUGUGGUGGAAAGCUUUUGCGGUGUGGGAUGGGCCCGCGGCCUAUCAGCUUGUUGGUGAGGUUAUGGCUUACCAAGGCGACGACGGGUAGCCGGCCUGAGAGGGUGACCGGCCACACUGGGACUGAGAUACGGCCCAGACUCCUACGGGAGGCAGCAGUGGGGAAUAUUGCACAAUGGGCGCAAGCCUGAUGCAGCGACGCCGCGUGAGGGAUGACGGCCUUCGGGUUGUAAACCUCUUUCAGCAGGGACGAAGCGCAAGUGACGGUACCUGUAGAAGAAGGACCGGCCAACUACGUGCCAGCAGCCGCUGUAA